GACGUAGGGUGCAAGCGUUGUCCGGAUUUACUGGGCGUAAAGAGCGCGUAGGCGGCUCGUUAAGUGUGAAGCUAAAUCUCUUGGCUCAACCAAGAACUAUUUCGCAUACUGGCGGGCUGGAGUGAUGCAGAGGUGGAUAGAAUUCCCGGUGUAGCGGUGAAAUGCGUUGAUAUCGGGAGGAAUACCCGUGGCGAAGGCGGUCCACUGGGCAUCAACUGACGCUGAGGCGCGAAAGCGUGGGUAGCAAACAGG
rnacentral:rRNA from 1 species